ensembl:misc_RNA 7SK 7SK RNA
GGAUAUGAGGGAGAGCUGGCAGUGACAUGUCACCUCAUUGAUCGCCAGGGUUGAUUCGGCUAUCUGGCUGGUUAGGCAGGUGUUCCCUUCCUUCCUCACGUCUCCAUGCGCAUGCCUCUCAAAGCUGCAUGCUUGGUUGAAGAGGAUGACCAUCUCUGACAGAGGAGGGCCUGUCUUCACUCAAGGGUAUACAAGUAGCUCUGCUUCCCUGCUAGAACCUUCAAACAAGCUCUCAUAAUUAGAAUCUAAGAAUGAUACUGAUAUUGCCAUGUUAUCAAGUGAAGCUUCCAGGAGUGGGGCAUCAAAGUAAGCCAAUUUGUCCUAUGGAAUAUAAAUAAACCUUUGAAAGUAGUUGUUUAUGUUU